GCUCCAGUGGCUUAGUGGUUAGAGCAUCUGCCUCAGAUACGUAAGGUUAUGGGUUCAAUCUUCAGCUGAGUCA